rnacentral:rRNA from 1 species
UACGGAGGGUGCGAGCGUUGUCCGGAAUCACUGGGCGUAAAGGGCGCGUAGGCGGCAGCCCAAGUCGGUGGUGAAAGCCCGUGGCUCAACUGCGGGUCGGCCACCGAUACUGGGUAGCUUGAGCACGGUAGAGGCAGGUGGAAUUCCGGGUGUAGCGGUGAAAUGCGUAGAUAUCGGGAGGAACACCAGUGGCGAAGGCGACUUCCUGGCCUGUUCUUGACGCUGAGGCGCGAAAGCUAGGGGAGCAAACGGG